UACGAAGGGGGCUAGCGUUGUUCGGAUUUACUGGGCGUAAAGCGCACGUAGGCGGAUUGUUAAGUCGGGGGUGAAAUCCUGGAGCUCAACUCCAGAACUGCCUUCGAAACUGGCGAUCUUGAGUCCGGGAGAGGUGAGUGGAACUGCGAGUGUAGAGGUGAAAUUCGUAGAUAUUCGCAAGAACACCAGUGGCGAAGGCGGCUCACUGGCCCGGUACUGACGCUGAGGUGCGAAAGCGUGGGGAGCAAACAGG
rnacentral:rRNA from 1 species